GAAGCUGUAAAGAAAGGGAGAGUCAGAUAUGAAAAUCCAAUGAAACAUGCUUUACAGUGCAGCAGAUGAGCCUUCCAGAACCUUCCUCCGUAGUGACAGAGAAUUAUAGCCACACAAAACCCCCUGCUUAUAGACUGCUCUUCAUACAUACUCAUAAGUAUCCCCACAACCUAUCUAGGGGGUUGUUUUUCAUGACAGAUUUUCUCAACUGCAACGGUCUAAUAAAGUAGCAAUCACCUACCUGUUUUGUUUCUGCUUAAUGUUCUGAGUCUGCUUUUCUCUUGGGUGUGUUGGGGGUAAACUGUUAAAAUGAUUGGUCUUUGGACUCUGCCUUCUGGGUGAGCAUAUCUAGAUCUAGCAAAAUAGAUGUCAGUGAAAACUCUUUAAGAGACCUUGGGUUGGAAAUAUACUUCGGUGCCCUACUUAACAAGAACUAUACUCUAAUAGAACUCUCACUUCAAACUUCCAUGUGCUGUUAUUAGUAAACAAGCCUGAAUUCUUUGAAAGGCUUUUUUUUCUCUUUUAAAUUUAUGAACUAAAUAAUGCACCCUCGCUAAGGGAAUAGGCUUGCCACAGACUUAUUGCAAGUAACAUUAAGGAACCGCAGACAUUCACAUGUUUAAAUAGGUAUGCUAAUCAGACUGUACAUUGUUCACCACGUCCUGGAUCCUCUUGGCAAAAAAAAAAAAAAAAAAAAAGGCUUAUCUAAAAAUAACAUGGCAUUUCAUUUAUAGAAAACUGGGCACUUGCUCCUUCAAGAUGAAUGGCAUUUCAAGAUUCAAAUCCCUUGUUAACCUUGUAAUGUGCUGCAGGUGUAACUCUUUUGUCCAAGUAUUUGGAAAGAACAAAAAUAAAUCCCUCUUGACA
rnacentral:lncRNA from 1 species